rnacentral:rRNA from 1 species
CAGUAGCCGCGGUAAUACGAAGGGGGCUAGCGUUGUUCGGAUUUACUGGGCGUAAAGCGCACGUAGGCGGAUUCUUAAGUCAGAGGUGAAAUCCCAAGGCUCAACCUUGGAACUGCCUUUGAUACUGGGGAUCUCGAGUCCGGGAGAGGUGAGUGGAACUGCGAGUGUAGAGGUGAAAUUCGUAGGUAUUCGCAAGAACACCAGUGGCGAAGGCGGCUCACUGGCCCGGUACUGACGCUGAGGUGCGAAAGCGUGGGGAGCAAACAGGAUUAGAUACCCCGGUAGUCCCUGUCUCUUAUAC